rnacentral:rRNA from 1 species
AACGAACGCUGGCGGCAGGCCUAACACAUGCAAGUCGAGCGGACCUUCGGGUUAGCGGCGGACGGGUUAGUAACGCGUGGGAACGUGCCCUUCAGUUCAGGAUAGCCCCGGGAAACUGGGAUUAAUACUGGAUACGCCCUUUGGGGGAAUGAAGGAUCGGCCCGCGUUAGAUUAGUUAGUUGGUGGGGUAACGGCCUACCAAGACUACGAUCUAUAGCUGGUUUUAGAGGAUGAUCAGCAACACUGGGACUGAGACACGGCCCAG